CACCUGCAGUCAACAACUCAAUUAAAUAUUUAUAUGAAAUCUAAGCCACAACCACAAAAAAUGAUGAGUUCCAAACAAACUAAGCAUAAGACAUCAAGAAAAGUGCUUAAAGACAGGUACCGCGUGAAGCCAUUGUCUAAACACUAUUAAUUUCCACAAAGACUAGUUUCCAUUGGUCAUACUUUAGAUUUUUGAAUACUUUGUUUCAUCCUUCAAAGAAGAAGAUAAAAAUGAAGUAAACUGCAAAGUCAGCUAUGCACUCCACUGCAUACAAUUAUUGCUGAAUACCUUUACCUUGCACCAUUAUUGCAAUAUUCCUCUCUCUUCCUUACAUUCUCAAAAUCCGAUCACGCACUGAUUCAUUUGCUGUUUUUCUGAUCAUCAUACUAUGGCUGAAGCACUUCUUUCUGGCUUCAUCAACGUUGUUCUUGAGAGGCUCAUUUCACGUGAGUUUGUCAACUUGGUGGUGGGCAAGAAGCUGGACCGGAAGUUGGUUGACAGGCUCAAGACUGCUAUCUUGGCUGCCAAAGCUCUGGCUGCUGACGCUGAGCAGAAGCAGUUUGGACACGAACUCGUCAGGGAGUGGCUUGAUAGUCUCAAGGAUGCUCUCUACACUGCUGAUGACUUGCUGGACCGUGUCUUCAUCAAAGCUCAAAUUCGCAGCAAGACACGCAUUCAUCGUCCUGGCUUCCUUGAUUUGUCUGGUAGGAAGAUGGUGACUAAGAUAGAAGAGGUGGUUGAAAGAAUAGAAGAUCUUGAGAAACGCAAAGAUACCCUUGGUCUCAAAGACAUUCCAACGGGUAGCUCCUCAUGGAGACCUCCAUCCACUUCUCUUGUCAAGGGGAAUUUGUUCGGCAGGGAUGGUGACCAACAGGCAUUAAUCAAGAUGCUAAACGACAACAAUGAUCAUCAGUUGUCUCUCAUCUCUAUUGUUGGUAUGGGAGGGGUUGGUAAAACAGCUUUAGCCCGAUGGCUAUACAACAAUGAGGCUUUGAUGAAGGAGUUUGAUCCAAAAGCAUGGAUUUGUGUUUCUGAAAAUUUUGAUGUUGUUGAGACUACAAAGAAUGUUAUAAAGGAGAUCAAUUCAGGUGAUUGUAGCCUUGACAGCUUCGAAUCACUUCAAAAAGAUUUGAAGAAAAGACUGUCAGAAAAGAAGUUCUUCAUUGUUUUGGACGAUGUUUGGAGUGAAGAUGCUGACAUGUGGAAUAGUUUUAUCACCCCUUUUCAACAUGGGAGAAAGGGGAGCACUGUUCUUGUAACUACUCGCAAGGUAAAUGUUGGUCGAAUAGUCCAACACUAUAACUCUUACACUCUGAAGCAACUGUCAGAUGAUUAUUGUUGGUCUAUUUUUGCCGACAAUGCAUCCUUUCCAGAAUCAAAUGGAAGCUCAGAACUGGAAGGAAUUGGUAAAAAGAUUGUCAAGAGGUGUGAUGGCUUGCCGUUAGCCGCAGAAACACUUGGACGCUUGUUGCGCUCAGAGCAUCGUGUUGAAGAAUGGAAUAAAAUACUAUUGAGUGACAUUUGGGACUUUCCCGUGGAAAAUUGUAAGAUUGUUCCUGCAUUGUUAUUAAGUUACCAUCAUCUGCCUACUCAUUUAAAACGUUGCUUUGUUUAUUGUUCAUUGUAUCCCAAAGAUCAUAAACUUGAUAAAGAUAAACUAAUGUUGCUUUGGAUUGCUGAAGACCUUUUACAACCACCGAGGGGACAAACUUUAGAAGAAGUUGGUUGCAAGUGUUUUGAUGAUUUGGCUUCAAGACUAUUUUUCAAGCAGGUCGAUAACGAUGAUGAGAAGUAUUUCGUGAUGCAUGAUCUCAUGCAUGACUUAGCAACUUUUCUUGCUGGAGAUCUUUAUUGUAGAUUCUCAGAACUUGGUGAAAAGAAAGAGAGGAGUAUUCUAACUCGUCAUUUGUUAUUCGAUCGUUCAAUCCGUAAGAAAACAUGCUCUUGUAGUAAAAUAGAAUCUUUGAGGACAUUAUUGUAUAUCAAUCAUGGAACUCGCGCAACAUUAUCAUGUGACCUAUUGUCAAGGAAUAAAUACUUGAGAGUUUUGUCCGUUCAUACACUCAAUAUAUUUCCUUAUUCGAUAGCUAAAAAAUUGAUCCAAUUGCGCUAUUUGGAUCUCUCUUGGAGUGCUGUUAAGAUAUUGCCCGAGUCAUUAUGCAACAUGUGCAAUCUACAAACUUUAAAGUUACAAGGAUGUUCAGAGCUGACUAAGUUGCCUGGUAGCUUGGGUGAAUUGAUCAACCUACGCUAUUUGCAUCUCUCUGGAAGUGCUGUUGAGACACUGCCAGAGUCAUUGUGCAACUUGUGCAAUCUACAAACUUUAAAGUUAGCAGGUUGUUCAAAGCUGACUAUACUGCCCAAUGACAUGUAUAAGCUUAUGAAUUUGCGGCAUCUUGAUAUAUGGGGUACUCCUCUGAAAGAAAUGCCAAAAGGAAUGGGCAAAUUAAAACAGUUGCACACUUUAAGCAAGUUUGUGGUGGGAAAGCAAGAAGACAAUGUAAUCCAAGAGUUAGGAGGACUUUUAAAUCUUCAUGGAUCACUUACGAUUCAGAAAUUGGAAAAUGUGGUUGAUGGCAAUGAGGCAAGGAGAGCAAGGAUAAUAGAUAAGAAGCACGUUGAUGAAGUAUUGUUGGAAUGGUCUCUAUCUUCAGGUGAUGAUAUGGUUUCAAACACACAUACUGAUGAACAAGAUAUACUUGGGGGCUUGCAACCACACACUGGUUUGAAAAAGUUGAGUGUUUGUGGAUACAAAGGUAAAAUAUUUCCAGAUUGGAUGGGGCAUUCCUUGUACCAAAACAUGACAAGUGUAUCUCUACAAUAUUGCUGGAAUUGCUGCGUGCUUCCGUCACUUGGACAGCUGCCAUCUCUCAAGUCCCUAAGCAUUCAUGGUUUUCGUCAGCUGAAGAGAAUUGGCAAGGAGUUUUACAAGAAUGAAGGCGAUCAACAUUCUUCGCCUAUUGCACCGUUUCCCUCACUGGAGCGUAUGCAGUUUCAUGACAUGCCAUGUUGGGAAGAGUGGCACUUACCUGACUCAGAAGCCUUUCGUCAGCUUAAGAUCCUUCAAAUAAGAGGGUGUCGAAUGUUAAAGGGAGAUAUGGUUAAUCAGGUAUUCAUGAGAAUCGUUUCUUCCUCAUCGGAUGUUUCCAAAGUGCGCCAACUGAAAAUACGAGAAGGUCAUACAGAAUCGGAUAAAUGGAUGAGGCUUAAUGGGGAUAGUUUAUCAAUUAGGGGAUUUGAAUGUGUGGCGGAGUGUGCAUUUAAGGCAAGGAUCAUCCACCAUCUAACUUCCCUCCAAGAAAUACAUUUCUUGUGGUGUGAGUCUGUUGUAUCCUUGGGGAACAAUUGUUUACCCAAAUCUUUGCAAAAGCUCAGAAUAUAUAGGUGCAGCCAAAUUGAAUUACUCCAGCAACAACAGAAAUAUGAUUUGGUAGAUCUACAGAUAGAUGAGAGCUGUGAUUCACUGACCUCAUUGUCGUUGGAUGCCUUUCCAAAUCUCAAGAAUCUGGAGAUAGAAGGGUGUUCAAAUCUGGAAUCAGUUUCAAAGUCAGAGCCACCACACGCUUCUCUUCAACGUCUCACCAUCGAGGGCUGCUGCAAAUUAGUGUCGUUUGCAAGAGAAGGACUGGCUGCACCCAACUUGACUCAUCUCGAUGUUAGCGGCUGCUGGAAGUUGGAGGCAUUGCCACGUGACAUGAAUAGUCUUCUCCCAAAUUUACAGUCUCUCAACAUACGAGGUUGCCCAAACAUUUGCAGGUCGCCAGAGGGUGGUUUACCGACUAACCUGAAAGAGCUUAGGGUUGGAGGAUGCGAGGAACAAGUGAGGGGUGUAUCAUGGUUGGGCAACUUGGACAACCUCACUCAUCUUUUCAUUAAUGGUUUUGGGUGUAAGAGCAUAAAGUCAUACCCAGAGGUGGGUUCGCUGCCUCGCCUUCCCUCCCUUACCACUCUUGAGAUACGGUCGUUUCAUAAUCUGGAGACAUUGGAGUGCAACGAGCUUCUCCGCCUCACCUCCCUCCAAGAAUUACACAAUUCAUUGUGUCAUAAGCUGGAGAAUAUUGCAGGAGAAAAGCUGCCUCCCUCUCUCUUACUACUUCAAAUUGACAACUGUCAUUUGCUGGGCAAACACUGCAAGAACAAGCAUCAACAAAUUUGGUCCAAAAUUUCCCACAUCCCCACCAUUCAAGUCGAUGACGACCAAAUUUUCUGAGCAGGUAGCUUAUGCACAUAUCAAGAUGUAAUCCUAUACAUUGGCUAUACAUCUUCAUCUAAUUCUAAGUUCAUUUGUGGUGGUAAUUAAGCUCGAUUGAUGUAUUCGGAAACAGAAACUCUGUGUUUUCUGAUUUUGGCUUCAAGUUAUUGAAAAGCAAAGAUAUGAUGGAGAAAGUUGGUGACACUCAUUAUUGAAAAGCUUUGGUUGUUGUUGAUUUCCCAAGGUGAUGAAGGUAUGUAGCUAAUGCGGUCAAGAUUCAAAGAAUAUGCUUUCCACAUUUAAAGAUGACAAUCCUAUACCUGAAAUAGUCAUUAGAAGGAGAAAUUAUAGUGAUGCCAUCGGACAACAAUUUCAUUCCUGUCAACUUCACUCAAUGGAAGUAUAUAUUGAGGUUUGGUAACCAUAUCUAAAUUAUCUUCAUUCAAUCCAAAGUUCAUCAGAAAAGGUGCUCUUAAAUUUUAGCUUCAGGUCUGGGCUUUGAGUGUUGAUGGCUCGUCGAUUCUGCUGAGAAUGUCGAGCUUACUAGCUCUGCUUUUGAAAAUUAUAAACCCUAGUUCUCAAAUUGGGAAACCCUUUACCCAGCCACCAGCCACACCCACGGAAGAGAGACGAGAGAUCCAAAGAGUGGGGAGCCGCGAGGGAAGAAGAGGAAGUAGGGAGAGACAGGACCGUGCCCAAUCAUCACUGUCGUGCUACGUCCCGCUGUUGCCGCCAUCGCGCCUGGUGCUGCACGCCGAGCUCGUUCCUUCAUCGUCAACGCUGCCAGAGAGGAGAGAAGAGGGAGACGUGAUGCAAGCCAAGGCCAAGAGGAAGGGGACGCCGCCGUGCCUCCAUCGCGAUUGAUCCGCCGCCACUAUUGUUGGGUCCGCCGUGGGAAGAAACGCGAUGGUGGGGAAAGAAUCUGUCACUGCUGCUGAGCUCUGCCCCUGUUUUUGGUUUGUCUUUCUAAAGCCGCUGUUGUCAUUGGAGUUACAUGAUUGGAGGAAAGAUGGAACUGCUGCUGCCAUGGCCGCCGCGCCUCUACCACCAA